AUUGAACGCUGGCGGCAUGCUCUACACAUGCAAGUCGAACGGUAACAGGCCGCAAGGUGCUGACGAGUGGCGCACGGGUGAGUAAUGCAUCGGAACGUGCCCAGUCGUGGGGGAUAACUACUCGAAAGAGUAGCUAAUACCGCAUACGAUCUAUGGAUGACAGCGGGGGACCGUAAGGCCACGCGCGAUUGGAGCGGCCGAUGUCAGAUUAGGUAGUUGGUGGGGUAAAGGCUCACUAAGCCAACGAACUGUAGCUGGUCUGAGAGGACGACCAGCCACACUGGGACUGAGACACGGCCCAGACGCCUACGGGAGGCAGCAGUGGGGAAUUUUGGACAAUGGGCGCAAGCCUGAGCCAGCAAUGCCGCGUGCAGGAAGAAGGCCUUCGGGUUGUAAACUGCUUUUGUACGGAACGAAACGGCUCUGGUUAAUACCCGGGGCUAAUGACGGUACCGGAAGAAUAAGCACCGGCUAACUACGUG
rnacentral:rRNA from 1 species